CAAUAGCGUAUAUUAAAGUUGUUGCAGUUAAAAAGCUCGUAGUUGGAUUUCUGGAGGGUGCAGCCGGUCGGCUCCGCAAGGGGUGCGUACUCGCGCUGCCGCCUUUCAUCCUUCGGACGAACGUGUCUGGCAUUAGGUUGUCGGGCUCGGGAGUCCGAUCAUUUACUGUGAAAAAAUUAGAGUGUUUAAAGCAGGCGUUUGCUGUGAAUACAUUAGCAUGGAAUAAUAAGAUAGGACUUUGGUGCUAUUUUGUUGGUUUGCACACCAAGGUAAUGAUUAAUAGGGAUAGUUGGGGGUAUUCAUAUUCAAUUGUCAGAGGUGAAAUUCUUGGAUUUAUGGAAGAUGAACUUAUGCGAAAGCAUUUACCAAGGAUGUUUNCAUUA
rnacentral:rRNA from 1 species